ACUCAAAUGAAUUGACGGGGGCUCACACAAGCGGUGGAGCAUGUGGCUUAAUUCGAGGCUACGCGCAGAACCUUAUCCCGGGCUUGACAUGCACGGAUUAGCCGGCGGAAACGUCGGCGAGGCCGCAAGGUACAACGUGCACAGGUGCUGCAUGGCUGUCGUCAGCUCGUGUCGUGAGAUGUUGGGUUAAGUCCCGUAACGAGCGAAACCCCUGCCCCUAGUUGCCAGCACGUCACGGUGGGCACUCUAGGGGGACCGCCGGUGUUAAACCGGAGGAAGGCGGGGACGACGUCAAGUCCUCAUGGCCCUUAUGCCCGGGGCUGCACACGUGCUACAAUGGGCCGGACAGAGCGUCGCGAACGCGCAAGCGGGAGCCAAUCGCAAAAACCGGCCCCCAGUUCGGAUUGCGGGCUGCAACCCGCCCGCAUGAAGCCGGAAUCGCUAGUAAUCGCCGAUCAGCACUGCGGCGGUGAAUGGGUUCCUGAGCCUUGCACACACCGCCCGU
rnacentral:rRNA from 1 species